CCUCAGUAAAUCAGUGAGACCCAAUUUCAUCAUCAAUCUGCCCCACCAAGAUCCCUAAAAAUACACUUAUCGAUCCAAUCUUCAUGUCGUCGAAAAAGUCGCAAUCGCCAUCGCCGCCUAGGGAUUUUUUUUAUAUUGGAGGGAGAAAUCUCCAGAGACGACACAUCAAUAAUGAUAACCAAUGCAAAGGUGUUGUGCAGCCAUAGAGACGGAUGAACAUUUAUUCUUUAACUGUCCCUAUGUGCAAAUGAUAUGGAGAGGAUCGGGCGUGUCAAGUACGGUGAUCAAUAACACACAGACGACUUUUGAGGAAAAGCUGGAAACAUCUAUAGAGGGUUCUACUUCAAGAGCUUUGGCGCACAUACAUGAUUUACCCAUCUCAUUCUGUGGCGUAUUUGGAAGAGUCUUAAUAUACUUAUCUUUCAA